rnacentral:rRNA from 1 species
AAGUCGUAACAAGGUCUCCGUAGGUGAACCUGCGGAGGGAUCAUUACCGAGUUAGGGUCCUUAUGGGCUCGACCUCCAACCCUUUGUCUACCUACCUUCGUUGCUUCGGCGGGUCUGUCCCUCUAGGACGCCGUCGGUGGCCAACCUAUAAACUCUUGAUGAAACGUGUCGUCUGAGUAUAAAUUAAAAUUAAAAACAAAACUUUCAACAACGGAUCUCUUGGUUCUGGCAUCGAUGAAGAACGCAGCAAAAUGCGAUAAGUAAUGCGAAUUGCAGAAUUCCGUGAGUCAUCGAAUCUUUGAACGCACAUUGCGCCCUUUGGUAUUCCGAAGGGCAUGCCUGUUCGAGCGUCAUUAUCAACCCUCAAGCCCCGGCUUGGUGUUGGAUCUUGGUUGAGUGAUCGACCGAUCCUAAAGACAAUGACGGCGUCUGUGGGACCCCCGGUACAACGAGCUUUAACCAGCACGUACUGAGGUGGGCUGGCAGACCCGGUCGCCUGGUGUGUCUCGCACCUUUUUUUCUCAGGUUGACCUCGGAUCAGGUAGGGAUACCCGCUGAACUUAA